AAGUGAGAUGAUGGUAUACCAUCUUUCGGGACUGACCUGAAAUGGAGACACUUCUUAAUUUGCUGAUCACUU
rfam:Alligator mississippiensis ScZkoYb_24, whole genome shotgun sequence.